rnacentral:lncRNA from 1 species
UCUCCACGUGUGCAUUGCUCCAAAUCUGAGAUGUCGAGGCUUGUGAGGACAUCGAAGAGUAUCGAGCUAUUGGAAGAUCAAAAUUAUGGCUAAAUUCUAUGACUCGACUCAUACUCACCUCUCCAGUGACUCUGAGCCAUUCCUCAAUGUCAAGGAGGGGCUGAGUGGAUGGGUCAUCACCGUGCCGCACAACGACGUACUCCGC